AUUGAACGCUGGCGGCAGGCCUAACACAUGCAAGUCGAACGAGUGGCGGACGGGUGAGUAAUGUCUGGGAACCUGCCCGAUGGAGGGGGAUAACUGCUGGAAACGGUAGCUAAUACCGCAAACCAUCGGAUGUGCCCAGAUGGGUUUAGCUAGUAGGUGGGGUAACGGCUCACCAAGGGGACGAUCCCUAGCUGGUCUGAGAGGAUGACCAGCCACACUGGGACUGAGACACGGUCCAGACUCCUACGGGAGGCAGCAGUAGGGAAUAUUGCACAAUGGGCGAAAGCCUGAUGCAGCCAUGCCGCGUGUAUGAAGAAGGCCUUCGGGUUGUAAAGUACUUUCAGCGAGGAGGCGUUACUCACAGAAGAAGCACCGGCUAACUCCGUGCCAGCAGCCGCGGUAAUUC
rnacentral:rRNA from 1 species